rnacentral:tRNA from 1 species
GGCGGUGUAGCUCAGCUGGUCAGAGCGCACGGUUCAUACCCGUGAGGUCGAGGGUUCGAUCCCCCCCGCCGCUA